rnacentral:rRNA from 1 species
GCAAAGGUAGCAUAAUCAUUAGUUUCUUAAUUAAGGACUCGUAUCAAAGGAUUUUUCUCUUUUGGCUGUGUUUUCUAGAUUUUUAUGAAAUUAAAUUAAAGGUGAAAAUUCCUUUUUAUUAAGAAAAGACGAGAAGACCCCAGGAGCUUUGUUUAUUUUUGUUAUUUAUAAAGUAAAAUUUUGUUGGGGCAACAAAUAAUUAAAUAUAACAUUAUUUUAUUAGGGGUUUUAUCUUUAUUAUUAGUUAAAUUUAAGUUACCCUGGGGAUAACAGCAUAAUUUUAUUUAAAG